GGAAUCGCUAGUAAUCGCGGAUCAGCAUGCCGCGGUGAAUACGUUCCCGGGCCUUGUACACACCGCCCGUCACACCAUGAGAGUCGGGAACACCCGAAGUCCGUAGCCUAACCGCAAGGAGGGCGCGGCCGAAGGUGGGUUCGAUAAUUGGGGUGAAGUCGUAACAAGGUAGCCGUAUCGGAAGGUGCGGCUGGAUCACCUCCUUUCUAAGGAGA
rnacentral:rRNA from 1 species